rnacentral:rRNA from 1 species
GAUGAACGCUGGCGGCGUGCCUAAUACAUGCAAGUCGAGCGAACAGACGAGGAGCUUGCUCCUCUGACGUUAGCGGCGGACGGGUGAGUAACACGUGUAUAACCUACCUAUAAGACUGGUAUAACUUCGGGAAACCGGAGCUAAUACCGGAUGAUAUCUUGAACCGCAUGGUUCGAUAGUGAAAUUCGGUGUUGCUGUCACGUAUAGAUGGAUCCGCGCCUCAUUAGCUAGUUGGUAAGGUAACGGCUUACCAAGGGAACGAUGCGUAGCCGAACUGAGAGGGUGAUAGGCCACACUGGAACUGAGACACGGUCCAGACUCCUACGGGAGGCAGCAGUAGGGAAUCUUACGCAAUGGGCGAAAGCAUGACGGAGCAACGCCGAGUGAGUGAUGACGGUCUUCGGAUCGUAAAACUCUGUUAUUAGGGAAGAACAAAUGUGUAAGUAACUGUGCACGUCUUGACGGUAACUAAUCAGAAAGCCACGGCUAACUACGUG